UUAUAUGGCCAUACCUCCUUGUCAAAGCCUUAUCUUGUCAGAUCUCAGAAGCUAAGCAAGGCAGGAUUUGGUUAGUAUUUGAAUAGAAGACCACUGAGAGGUCCAGAUGUCACAGCGG
rnacentral:rRNA from 1 species